CCCCACGAUCGCAGGAGGACCGAACUCCCUCUCUCUCCCUUUUGGUUUCGCACAGUCCAGGCAGAAUACCCCCGCCCUUUCCCUAUCAUUUUCGUGCGGCGUAGGUCGCAAUCCUCCCCUCGCCGAAGCCAAACUCAACGCCGAGGCUAGGGAUCCCCUGCUCCUGCCACCGCUACUAGUCAUGGAAGCCAGGGCCAAAGUUCCAUUUCACUUGCUCUUCUCCUCUGUUCGGACCGGGCUCCAGGAUCCCAAGCUCCUCUGUUCGAUCCCGCCUCCAGGCUCGAACCCGACGCCAGCUUGACCCUCACCCCAACUACUGGUUUCUCUCCUCUUGCAAGGUGCAUUUCCUUUCCUCUCCUAGUCUUUCUAUUCUUUCAUCCUUUUUCCACCUCUUGUCUUCUUCCUCCUUUCUUCCCUUCAUUCUCCUCUUCUUCUUCCUUCUAAUCUUCUUCUUUUUAUUUAUUCUUCCCUAAUAAAAAGAGGAAUAUGAGUGAUUAUCUUAUGGAUUUCACUAUCAGAUGGCUCUUCUUAUGCUUGCUUUAAUCUCCUUGUUUCUUUGGGAUCUGUUUUGGUUGAUAGAAUUAAAAAAAAAAAAAAGAACUGCUUGGCUUUAGUUUAACUGAUGAAGAGAAUGGAAUUGACAAGUUAACUGGAAUGAUUCUUCAUUACUCUUUGCUUGAGUUUGGUAUGCACAUAGUAUUUAGUUGCUUUCACCCUUAAAAUUGUAAACGAUAUAUCUUUAUGUUCUUUUAUAAGUCAGUGAUAUUCUCCUUGUUGAUAAAGUUAGAUAUGAAGUCUUGAAUAAAAGAAGGGAAGCUUGUUUGCAUUGUUUGGGUGGAGAUUAUAUUCUCCUCAUUAUUCUGUCUAGAAGGAUUAAAAGUUAUGUCUUGACGAUUAUUUGCACUAAGAUGUUGAAGUUCUAAAUUAUUCUAUGGAGAUUUGUUCUUUUCUUUUAUACGCACGUAUGCUUUGUGUCCAAGUCAUUUUGAUGAAGUUUUAUGGUUGUGUUUUGGGUUGAAAAAAUCAAGGAGAAACCAUGCAUUGUUUCCCCAAAAUCCCCUUUCACCUUAGCUUCCCUUGCUCCUCACUUUAAUUUAAGGCCUUGCGGAUGGUUGGGUUGAAGACAAGUUACAUUUAUACAAGUUUGCUUUGGCCAAAACUGAAAAUUAAAUGCAAGUUUUAUGGUGUAUAUGUCAUUACAUAUAUAAUCCUCUUAUUCCUAUGGAAUACGUUCAUUCGUUAUGCUAAAUCCUAUAAUGGCUUGUGAUGAUAGUAGUUGAUUUAGUCACAACGUAUUGAUUUAUACUUCUAUCCAAUGUGUUGACUUACCUUGUUUUGGAAUGGACAAUUAGUAUAUGAAACUUACAUUUGCCUUAUGAUUUAAAACUUUAGGUGUAAAUGGUGGCAAGUCUUGAGAAGCCACGUUAUUUCUUUACUAAAACAUGCAUGUCAAGUGUUUGUAUUAAUGCCUAUUGGGAAACAGUGGAAGUUUUUCUUUAAAAAAAAUGUGGCAAGCAAACAUAGUUUUAUUCCGUUUCAACUUCGCAUGAGUUAUGAGUAAUUAGAAGUAUGCCUAAGCUAAAGGAAUGAGGAGUAGACAUGCUUGCAUGGUACUGCACCUAUAUUUCUAAGAGCAUCUAUGAAUUUGGAAAAGGUAAAGAUCUUGUUUAUUUAUAAAACAGUGACAAUGUAUAAAGUGAUCUUAUAACUCGAUUCAUGAGGGUUUUAUGAAUGGUUGGAAACAGUUAAAACAAAAAUGCAUAGCUAUUUUAAAUCUACAUAUCCAUGUAGUUUACAUCUUAAGGUCAUGUUUGUAUUUAUGAUGGAAGUGUGGAUUACUUAUAAUUAAGAGAAUGGUAUUUUAGUAUCAUGUAUAAGUCAUAUGAUCCAUGGAAUUAGAAAGUUAUGAUUAUAUGUGGCAUUGUUCUUGUUUCAAUUUCGAUAAAGUGCUAAAGCAUAUCUUGUUUAUAUGAUUGAUUUAGUUAAUAGAAGAAUGUGAAAUCACUUCUUAGUGCGUGAAAUAUGUCAUUUAGUUGGUGAAGUAAAGGAGUUAAAAGCUGCAACAAUCAUAUCAUAGUGAUUUCAUUUAUAUGCACUCAUGGAUUUUAGCAUGGUAUGGAUAUUCAAUUUUUUGCGACGUGAAAUCUAGUAUUCAUACUCUGCAAUUUUUUUUAUUUCUCGAUCAUGAAUAUGUAAUUCAUUUCUGAACUUGUUUGGAAAGACAUGAUGGUUUUAUAGAGAUCUUAUGCUUAGUGGAAUUUAUAAAUUUAGGUUGGAAAGAUUAGUCUGCGUAUUCCAUAGCAUAUGAUGCGAGUGUUCCAAUUCUUUUUUUUUUUUUGGAAACAAAUUAGAUGUAGAUUUUGAUUCACUUUAUGCUCCAAACUAUUUUUGGUAGAUGAAUUUAUGAGAAUAUUUAUAUGCUUUCUUCUUUGGAGAAGAUUUUUUAGCUUGUUGGAAUUAUUGAGGCGUAUAUUCUUUGAAUAUAUGCAUUGUGCUUGAAGUAAGAAAUAGAUUUAUGUUUCUUUUAUGAUAACACAUCAAGUGCUUGUUUGGCCUUUUUGUGUUAUAUUGGUUGGGAGAACUUUACAUAUGUUUCUAUAAUAAAAUGGUUUCAUUAGUGGAGUUUGGAGAAAGUAUUAAAUGAUCAUAAGUUUUACAUCCCUUUUCGUUACCACGUAAGCAUAACAUUGGCAUUGGGCUUUGGCAAGAAUCAUUGUUGUGGGAAUACAAACCUUAUCACAUGGGAAAUGUAGCCUAAUGCAUGAAUUGUUAUAGAUUUUAUUGUUCGCCAAAUUACGCAUUUGCAAGCUUUCUUGAAUUUUUUUAAAGGCAUAUGGCAUGCGUUGUUUCCUUUUAUGUUUGUCACACCCCAGUUUGCCUUUCUUAAUGGUUAAAAUAUUAUUACUAAUUCUUAUACAUUGCUUAUGUAUUUCAUUUGGUCAUAGCUUAUUGGCAAUGGUUGUAUUGCAGACAAGGGAAAGGAGUUCGUAAGGAAUUAAAGGGGUGACUGUUCUUUUUUGGUGUACAUAUGUUUUGGGUGUACAAAUGGUCUAAAAAGAGAUCUGAACAAUAGCUAUGCAAACUUUUUGGAUAUUUAAUAGAUUUCCUUCUUUGUUAUACUCCAGUUCUAAUUUGGGGUGUGACAGUGUUGAUGAAGGCAUGAUAGCUUGAAGUAACCUAGAGCUUCUAACACUUGUGGUUAAUUUGUAGAGUCAAGUUUUGUGUUCACUCUUGAAUGUUCAAGCUCUCUUUCUUUAUGUCUCCCUCUCAUUUUGGGUUCUUGUUCAAAGGAAUUUUUCUAGAGAAUAAACCUAUUGCAUUAAGUAUGUCUUGGGAGAGAAAUUUGUUGUAUUACUUGUAGACAAUUGUAUUCGGAAAGAUAUUUCGUGGGCAACUAUUCUUGGAGAAAUACUCAUGUAUUUUCUCUCUUGAACGAGUUUGCAUAGAUUCAAUAUGAUUUUUGUUUUGAGUGUAAUACCAAAUCAAGACUUAGAGAGCAAUGAGGUUGCAUCAAGUCUUCUUCUUCCUAGCAAUAUUUGGUGGAAUGGUGAUUUGGGAAGGUUGGUGUGUAUAAGUUUGUGGUGAGUCAUGCUUGUUAAAAGAUUAACAUGUGUGAAUUUGUUUUGUUUCGUUUAUAUGGGAGUCUUUCUCCCAUUGUUGCACUUUGGCAUUUCUUUUUGGUCAGAUUGUUCCUCAGUUUGUAAGCCUUUCUAGAAAGCUCUCUUUCUUUGAAGAAUUGAUGCUUUAAAAUGGUUUUUUUUAUAGUUUUGUGAAUGUUUUAUAACAAAAAUCUUAUGAAAAUUUCUUUUGGUUUACCCCACACCAAAAAGCACUCGUUAUUUGUUUUGUGUCGAAAAGUGCUUUGGUGGGUUUCUUAUAAAAAAAAAAUAAGAGAAAAUUUUAUGUGCCGUUUCAUUUGAAAAGUUUUACAAAUUAUUUUGGGAUUUAGAGCUUUAUAAUUAGCUUUAAGUUGAAAGGCUCUUUGAUGUCUUUUUAGAAUGAAAUGAUAUUUUGUAUGUGAGUUGUCUUUCUUCUCUUUGUGUUUGCUUCUAGAGUUAAAUUUAAAUAAAUGUGGAAUGAAAACUCGUUUGGGUUUUAGUUUUGGGAAUUUGUCUUCCCUUUGCUACUUUGAGCUUUAUUUAGGAAAUAGUGUGUGUGUGUGUUUCGAGGGUUUGUUUUCUGAAUGUGGGAAGAGUAAAAUAAUAUCAAAUUCACCUUUCUCUUAUUCAUGUUUGACUCGAAUGCUGAAGUCGAGUAAAGAAUGGGUGUGAGGCAUGAUUGACUUUGAAAAGACAUGCCAGAUAAUAAAGAUGCUUACAUACCUUUCUUUUUAUUUAUUUCUUUUUUUUUGAUAUUUUGUUGGGGCUUUAUGUGAAUUAUUUCUUUAUAGCGUUUGCAAUCAUAUUGGAAUACUUUCUUUUAAACUUUAGGGGAGAACGAACUUGCACCAAAUUAGCUUUCUCACAAUUAUAACCUAGUAGAGAUUUAACAUUAGCAAAACUACUCGCUUGUUGCUUUAUUUUGGAAAUGUGUAGUCUUUAUUUUUGUUAUGAAAAAGCAUGUGAUUUCGUUGUAGUGACUUUAGUAGAAAUGUAAAGAACAAUUUGGCAUGCACCCAAAAAUUUUUUUAUGACUUUCCUAAACAUCUUUUUCUAGAUUCUAUUAGCUCUUGAUUUGCAACAUUAUAUGUUUUGGCAUGAGAUCAUAUUUGCAAGUUUAAGUUGUUCUUUUGAAACUUUUUGGUGACAUAUAGAAUGCAGUUGUAAACCAUGCUUUGCAUCCAAUAGAAGUUGUAGGAAGUUUAACAUGUAAUUGUUUCAAAUAUGAGUUUCUUAUAGAAUUUAUUUAAUGUUGCAUGGUGUGUGUUGGAAGUGCAAGUUUUGGGGUGGUUGUUGGAAGAAGGGAGAGGUGGUAGCUCUCUUUUCUUCUCAAUCUAUCCUCUCCUUUCUUUAUUGUUUUCUCUCUACUUGUGUCUUAUGAUAAAAUACAGCACUUCCAAAAUUCAAAGUUCUAAAAGACUAGCAAUCAAGUUGGUGUCCAAGCAAAAAAAAGAGAGAAAUUUUGCGAGGCGAUUUUUGGAGAGCAAAGGGGAAGAAGCAUUGGAGCACUAGGCGAAGGAGUAUGGACAGUCGGAUCUGAACAUCAGUCUCCCCUAUUCAGUCUAGUAUGGGCGCUACGGGCAGAACCACCGGGUCAUAGCCCUCGGUGUUGUAGCCGUGCGUACACAUAACUAUUACAGGUGUUUCAGUUGCUUAGCCCUCAAAUAAAUAGAGCACGGCCCCCAAAUAAAUAGUGUGAUUGACUUGAGUAUUUUAUUUUCAUAUAUAUAACUGCUUGGAUGAUUGAUUAUAACUAUUUAGAAUAAUCAUGCAUGAGAGUCUAGAUUUUUUAUUUUUCUAAUGUAAUUCAUUCAGUGUCAAGAGUUGUGAAAAUAAGUAAAAUAAGAUAUUUUUAAAUAUAGAGGGGUUCAAAUAAAAAAGAAAAUCUCUUAUAAUAAAUUUCAUUUUUCAUUUGGGCAUCCUUUUGGAGGACGCAAUACAAGGAACCCGAAGGAAGGAAGAUGAUCCAUAGAUGAAUCAAGAGAGUUAGGAUGGAGAUCGAGAUAAAAAUGCUUUAUUUUAAGAUUUACGUCGUUCUCUAGGAGUAGAACCCGAGUUAUUGUCGGCGGAGCCCGGCCACCACUACAUUUUUGCACUCUGAUUUGUAUAUUGUAUGGCAUUUGUCAUGAACUUUGGACACUCUCUUUAUUAUUAUUAUUUUGUUGUGAUGGUUUGUUUACUCUAUUUGUGCAGUAGAACUGACAUGAUUUUUAUAGGUUUGUUUCUUGUAUGCACAUGUGCCUAACUCGCUAGGCUCUUAGGGAUAAAAUUCUUCUACUCAUAAUUAAUAAUAAAUUUUUAGGAAUUAAAUAACAUAGAAACAUAAUGAUUUAGGAAAUAGCCGGAAUCAUUCAGGGUCGCAUGCAUAUCAAUGUAUUUUCUCUUCCUUAUUUAGACACUUCCCCACCUGCGGGUAGAGUCCGGAUAAUCUGGCCUAUGAGGAUGAAGUGUCGGACUUGGGGAAGCUUAGUUUUUUUAAAAAAAAUUAUUUUUAUAAGCUCUUUUUAAAAUUUCAAGCAUAUUUGAUUUGGAGAUUUUAAUCCGCACGCAUUGCAUUAGUAAUCAACUAAAAUUAAAAUUUAAUUAUAUUAGUUUUAGAUGCAUAACACCAUUCAUAAGUAUGAGGCAACUUAGGAACUUCUCUAGAUGUCGGCCUCAAAUUCCAAAAAUUUAUAUACCCACCCAUCUUUCACAUGGAUCGAAAAUCAUGGAUUGUAUACGACUAUGUGGUUUUAGUUAUCUUUCUUUUUUAGGCAAGAUAUAAGUCCAGGCUGUAUUAGUUAGGUCGUGGAUGUUAGUAUCGUAUGUACGAUACUACAUUUACAGAUUUAGAAUCUAAGACUAUGGUAUGAGUGUACCGCUGUAUGUCUUAUCGGUGGGUAAGCUCUUAUCUUUCAGGGGCUAUAAAUCUUAUCCAUUCGUAUCAUAUGGAUGACAUCACCUCCCUCUUUUUCUCACGCAUGUUUGAAUGUAAUUGUUUUCUUUUUCUCCAGUUUCCUCUUCCUUAGACCGAUCGAGUGAUAAUUGAGCCAUGCAUGAUUGAUUAAACCAAAUUGAGCCUAUCUUUCCCUUUGAUUAAGAAAGCCUAUAAAUUUCUCUUACGCACUAAACCCAUUUGAGAGAAUAAUACAACAUCCUUAAUCGAGAGUUUUUUUAGGUCAAGAUUUAAGAUGUAAUUAACCACGGGGGUUUGUGCCCGUGGGAAACAGAUCCCCACAUCAAAUAAAUCCUAUUCAAGCUGAUGUAUUAAAUAUGGAAAAUCUCAUGACUUUGAUUAGGUUAUACAUAUUAUUAUCCAUCGAUGUGUGUAGGUGAAAGCCGCUACCCACCAUGAUUAAUCGUAUAUAUAAUCUCAUAUGCUCUCCCAUUGGCAUGAGUGUAAAGGCCUAUGAUCGUUUUGUCCUACAUGAUAGUGCGAUCGUACUCUUUGCAUUCGUUUCACGUAAGCAGAAUCUUUUUGGAGACUCACAGUGUCGACUCACAGCGACUUUGGUUAGAAGAGGAGAGCAGCUAAAGUUCAUAACUUGUUGGAAAAGUUUAUAGCUUUAUGGGCUGGCUUCCAUAUUUCUGGCUUUUAUUUAUUAAAAUCCUAACUAAAACUAUUUAAGUUUUUUAUUAUAGCUUUAAGAGCUCAUUUAAUUGGUUGUAAAAUGCAAAGCAAGCUUUAGAAAGUCAUGUUUUUUUAUUUCAGCCAUUUUGAGAGACAAGCUGAAAUCCUCACUUUGAGGAAUUAAAAUAAAAUGCAUAGUUUUUCAAAAAAAAAAAAAAAAAAACUUUCUAACUCGAAGAAAUCAUAAAUCUUAUAUUUAAUAUUGUAAAUUAUUUGUGGUUUACUAUCUUAUAUUUAAUAUUAUACAAUUUUGGAUAAUAAUUAAAAAAAAUUAAAACUAUCUAUGCCGGUCUCACUUUGAGGAAUUAAAAUAAAAUGCAUAGUUUUUCAAAAAAAAAAAAAAA